ensembl:ncRNA asRNA:CR46261 antisense RNA:CR46261
AGGCAAUAAAAAUGCUUUCUUAACCGGAAAUGACAAAAUCACACACGAAAUGGUUUCGAUAAAAAAAAGGUCUACCUUUUUUCUCAUCUCCACUUUGCCGGAGGCCCUGCAAAAACCUGUGAAAGACCGUUCUCCGCUGCUUGUGCUUGUUCCGGCCCUCUAACCAAUCCAAUCCAAUCCAGAUCCAGUUCCAAAUCCAAAUGCGGAGGCAGUCAGGCGAACAAUCAAACCGAGAAUCAAACAGACAUUCAUUUGAUUAACCAGACAGCCAAAGUUUAAGCGCAAACCAAUUUAAUUGAAUUAAAAGCCAUAAAAACCAAACAGCCGCCAAACUGUCUCUAACCACAGCUUCCGGUGCCUCCUCCUCCGAUUUUAGACGCUCCUCACCUGUUGCCGAAAAGUUGUAAAAGAAAUUGGUCCGUGCUCCCGGAUAACUGUGCUGCAUCCCGUUCAGAUUCAGAGCCGACUUGGAGUCGAUGGCGUUCCGGGCCAUGCGAUUGGCCAAAUCAUUCUGCGUAUAGCUGUAGAUUUCGUUCUCCUCGCGAUUUGAUAGGC